CCUACGGGGGGCUGCAGUGGGGAAUAUUGGACAAUGGGGGGAACCCUGAUCCAGCCAUGCCGCGUGUGUGAAGAAGGCCCUCGGGUUGUAAAGCACUUUCAGUGAGGAAGAACGCCUGGUGGUUAAUACCCAUCAGGAAAGACAUCACUCACAGAAGAAGCACCGGCUAACUCCGUGCCAGCAGCCGCGGUAAUACGGAGGGUGCGAGCGUUAAUCGGAAUUACUGGGCGUAAAGCGCGCGUAGGUGGCUUGAUAAGCCGGUUGUGAAAGCCCCGGGCUCAACCUGGGAACGGCAUCCGGAACUGUCAAGCUAGAGUGCAGGAGAGGAAGGUAGAAUUCCCGGUGUAGCGGUGAAAUGCGUAGAGAUCGGGAGGAAUACCAGUGGCGAAGGUGGCCUUCUGGACUGACACUGACACUGAGGUGCGAAAGCGUGGGUAGCAAACAGGAUUAGAUACCCGGGUAGUC
rnacentral:rRNA from 1 species